rnacentral:rRNA from 1 species
GCUUGACAUGAUUCGAAUCGAGUCUGUCCCAGAGUUUGAUCCUGGCUCUUGCCGAACGCUGGCGGCGUGCUUAACACAUGCAAGUCGAACGGUGAAAGCGGAGCUUGCUCCGCUGGAUCAGUGGCGAACGGGUGAGUAACACGUGGGCAACCUGCCCCUCACUCUGGGAUAACUUCGGGAAACCGAAGCUAAUACCGGAUAUUCACUUUUGCAGGCAUCUGCGAAAGUGGAAAGUUUUUCGGUGAGGGAUGGGCCCGCGGCCUAUCAGCUAGUUGGUGAGGUACCGGCUCACCAAGGCGACGACGGGUAGCCGGCCUGAGAGGGCGACCGGCCACACUGGGACUGAGACACGGCCCAGACUCCUACGGGAGGCAGCAGUGGGGAAUAUUGCGCAAUGGGCGAAAGCCUGACGCAGCAACGCCGCGUGCGGGAUGACGGCCUUCGGGUUGUAAACCGCUUUCAGCAGGGAAGAAGCCGNCAGGUGACGGUACCUGCAGAAGAAGCACCGGCUAACUACGUGCCAGCAGCCGCGGUAAUACGUAGGGUGCAAGCGUUGUCCGGAUUUAUUGGGCGUAA